UAAAAUCUGAAUAUUUUAAUAACAUUAUAUAUUAUUUUCAAGGCCAUAGUAUAUAUUCUUCUCUAAUCAAGUCUGUUAUGUUUCUCCGCAAAGUGCUAUUGUUUAGUUUUAUUUUUGUUUACUUUUAAAUCUAGGUUCUAUUCAUAUUUGUUAAAGUCAUUCGUGUAAUUCAUACUUUAUAUCUUACUGUGAAUUUUUUUCAUUAUAUUUUAAACUAAUGAUAUAGUGGAGGGAAGAAGUAUUGCUUUUGUAAAUUUCUCUUUUAUAAUCACCUUUUGCUGAAAAUCAGUUUAUUAGUUCUAAAGUUUCUUGAGUUUGUAGGGUGUGUCUGUGUGUGUGUGUGUCUGUAGAGGGUGGUUGAUUCUUUGGACUUUUCCAGCUAAAUCUAUCAUUUUCAUCUCCAGCUUCCUAUUUCCCAUAGUUCCUCAAGACAGAGGAGGUACAGAAGUUCUUUGUCCUGAUCCUGCAGCUUUUCUGUAACUUUGAAGCCAUUUUACCUUAAAAUGUUGAAACAAUUAGAGGAUGGGGCUGCCGGCUCCAGUGAAGAUUGGAAUAUUCUGCUUCCUGCCCUGAGAGCAUCAGACAGCCCACACAUGCACCCUGUCAGAAACAGCUGGAUGACUAGAUGAAAUGCUCAAAAGGCCUUGGAAAGCAGGCAUCACAGGAGAAGAGGGAGGAAAUGAGGAUGGCAAGUGAGCAGGGAAAUGCUAUGCAAAAACCUGUGGGAAAGUUCUGGUGUGGGAAAUCAGCUUGUAAACGAUGCAGAGCUUUCUGAACUGUGAAUGGGCUCUGGAUUGGGCACACACGACGGUGAGUCACAAGAUGAUUGGCCCAGAUCCAACUAUGCGCACCAAGUCUACUCAACUCUGAACACUGAAGAAUUGAUGCUUUUGAACUGUGAUGUUGGAAAAGACUCUUGAGAGUCCCUUGGACUGCAAGGAGAUCUAACCAGUCCAUUCUAAAGGCAAUAAGUCCUGAAUAUUCAUUGGAAGGACUGAUGCUGAAGCUGAAGUUCCAAUUUUUGGCCACCUGUUUUGAAGAACUGACUCAUUGGAAAAGACCCUGAUGCUGGGAAAGAUUGAAGGUGGGAGGAGAAGGGGAUGACAGAGGACGAGAUGGUUGGAUGGCAUCACUGACUCAACAGACAUGACUUUGAGUAUGCUCCAGGAGUUGGCA
ensembl:lncRNA